rnacentral:rRNA from 1 species
GACGGAGGGUGCAGGCGUUGUUCGGAAUUACUGGGCGUAAAGCGCGGGCAGGUGGCCUUUUAAGUCCUUUGUGAAAUUCCGGAGCUCAACUCCGGAUGUGCAUAGGAUACUGGAAGGCUAGAGACUGGUAGAGGCGAGCGGAAUUCCUGGUGUAGCGGUGGAAUGCGUAGAUAUCAAGAGGAACACCUGAGGUGAAGACGGGUUGCUGGGCCAACACUGACGCUGAUGCGCGAAAGCCAGGGGAGCAAACGGG